GACGGAGGAUGCAAGCGUUAUCCGGAAUUAUUGGGCGUAAAGCGUCCGCAGGUGGCUGUUCAAGUCUGCUGUCAAAGCGCAGAGCUUAACUCUGUACAGGCGGUGGAAACUGAAGAGCUAGAGUAUGGUAGGGGUAGAGGGAAUUCCCGGUGUAGCGGUGAAAUGCGUAGAUAUCGGGAAGAACACCAGUGGCGAAAGCGCUCUACUGGGCCAUAACUGACACUGAGGGACGAAAGCUAGGGGGAGCGAAAGGG
rnacentral:rRNA from 1 species